rnacentral:rRNA from 1 species
UUCAUUGAUUUCUUUGCCUCUUGCAUAUCUUCAGGACUGAGAAAUAAAUCACCUCUCUUCUUCGGAGUGGGUUUAGGAAUAGGCUCAGGAGUUGGCUCAAUUGGUUCAGGAAUUGCCUCAGGAAUUGGCUCAGUAAGAGUCCAAUUAUUUUCAUUAGUCAACAUAUUAUUCAAUAGUAGUUCAGCUUCGUCGACUGUUCUUUCCCUAAAAUCACAACCAGCACAACUAUCCAAGUAGUCCUUGGAAGCAUUGGUUAGUCCAUUAUAAAAGAUAUCAAGUAUUUCAUUUUUCUUAAGAGGAUGAUCAGGCAGAGCAUUAAGUAACCAGAGAAGCCUCCCCCAAGCUUGUGGGAGACUCUCUUCUUUGAUUUGCACAAAAUUAUAUAUUUCCCGCAAGGCAACUUGUUUCUUAUGAGCAGUGAAAUAUUUAGCAGAGAAGUAAUAAAUCAUAUCCUGGGGACUACGCACACAACCAGGAGAAAGAGAAUUAUACCAAGUCUUAGCAUCACCCUUUAAUGAGAACGGAAAUAUCUUAAGGAUAUAAUAAUAGCGAGACUUCUCAUCAUGAGUAAACAGGGUAGCUAUGUCAUUCAACUUGGUAAGAUGUGCCACAAUAGUUUCAGAUUCAAGGCCAUAAAAAGGAUCAGAUUCAACUAAAGUAAUAAUCUCAGGAUCAAUAGAGAAUUCAUAAUCCUUAUCAGUAACAUAGAUAGGUGAAGUAGCAAAAGCAGGGUCAGGUUUCAUUCUAGCAUUAAGAGACUGUUGCUUCCAUUUAGCUAAUAAUUUCUUAAGAUCAUAUCUAUCAUUGCAAGCAAAGAUAGCUCUAGCAGCUUCUUCAUUCAUAAUAUAACCCUCAGGAACAACAGGCUAUUCAUAAUCAUUUGGAGAAUUUUCAUCAUCACUAUGAUCAAUAAUAGCAUCCUCAAUAAUUUCAUUCCCCCUAACUCUAGCAAGUUGUUCAUCAAGAAAUUCACCUAAUGGCAAAGUAGUAUCACACAUAGAAGUAGUUUCAUCAU